UAGUUUGUAAUUUUGUUUUCCGGUUUCGAGUUGUUUAUCGUCGGCGAAUGACCCGUGUGGCGGUGCAUGCUUUCGGUUCGACAUUUUGACCAGGGACUUCUACUUCACAGGUUUACAAGGUAAGCUAUUUCUAAAGGAAGAGUCUUCUACAGCAGUGAGCCAGGUACAACAGGUUUGAAAAACAUGGCAUCCAGCUGCGAGGAAGAAUACUCGGCUCUUUACCUUGGUAUUGUGGAUGACGAAGAUAAUUACGUAAAGUUCAAGAUAGAUAGGAAAGAUCUUGGUGAUUUUAGAAAGCUGGAUUUUAGCGUCACUUUUGAUGAGGCACAAAGACAGCUGUGGGUUCGGACCAGGAAGGACAAUGUCUUGUAUCAAUAAGAAGAAGGAUUAUGCAUCCCUGCGGAUAGAAAAGGAUUUGAAAAAUGGAAAAUUUAAUCUUAAUGACAAAUAAAACACAUCAUCAUCAAUGCUCUUUAGAAUGGUUGAGUACAGCUUUUGUUGUAAUCAAGAUUUCAGAGAAGAUCAAAGACAGCUUUUUAAGAGACAAUCCUGGAAUAUUCUAACACAGCAUUUAGUUUAUAGUUCACAUUUAUAAAACUGUACAUUAUACAUAAUAACGAUGUGAUCUCUUGUUGCUAGACAUUAACACUGGAUAACCUCCACUUGUUGGAUAACAUAUAUUAACAUAAUUAUAGACAUCAACAUAGAUUACCUUGGCUCGUUUAAGAAUACCUUUUAGGUAUAAUACUGGAAUAUCUCCCCUUGUUGGAGAUGACCAUAAUAUAACCUACAUGGAGAUGACCAUAAUAUAACCUACAAUGUACAUGUAUUUUAAUUGAAGGAAAUCUCUUGUAAAAAAGUUGAUAACGAGACUUUUAAAAACAUCGUACUGUGUAUUGAAUUCAUUUCACUGUCUUAACUGGGUAACAACAGACAAUAAACUGAAUUGUUUUGUGAUGUCUAAUAAUGUUUAAUAAAUAAAGGACGAAAAAAGGCGA
rnacentral:misc_RNA from 1 species